GUUUGAUCCUGGCUCAGGAUGAACGCUAGCUACAGGCUUAACACAUGCAAGUCGAGGGGCAGCAUGGUCUUAGCUUGCUAAGGCCGAUGGCGACCGGCGCACGGGUGAGUAACACGUAUCCAACCUGCCGUCUACUCUUGGACAGCCUUCUGAAAGGAAGAUUAAUACAAGAUGGCAUCAUGAGUCCGCAUGUUCACAUGAUUAAAGGUAUUCCGGUAGACGAUGGGGAUGCGUUCCAUUAGAUAGUAGGCGGGGUAACGGCCCACCUAGUCUUCGAUGGAUAGGGGUUCUGAGAGGAAGGUCCCCCACAUUGGAACUGAGACACGGUCCAAACUCCUACGGGAGGCAGCAGUGAGGAAUAUUGGUCAAUGGGCGAGAGCCUGAACCAGCCAAGUAGCGUGAAGGAUGACUGCCCUAUGGGUUGUAAACUUCUUUUAUAAAGGAAUAAAGUCGGGUAUGGAUACCCGUUUGCAUGUACUUUAUGAAUAAGGAUCGGCUAACUCCGUGCCAGCAGCCGCGGUAAUACGGAGGAUCCGAGCGUUAUCCGGAUUUAUUGGGUUUAAAGGGAGCGUAGAUGGAUGUUUAAGUCAGUUGUGAAAGUUUGCGGCUCAACCGUAAAAUUGCAGUUGAUACUGGAUAUCUUGAGUGCAGUUGAGGCAGGCGGAAUUCGUGGUGUAGCGGUGAAAUGCUUAGAUAUCACGAAGAACUCCGAUUGUGAAGCAACCUGCUAAGCUGCAACUGACAUUGAGGCUCGAAAGUGUGGGUAUCAAACAGGAUUAGAUACCCUGGUAGUCCACACGGUAAACGAUGAAUACUCGCUGUNUGCGAUAUACUGCAAGCGGCCAAGCGAAAGCGUUAAGUAUUCCACCUGGGGAGUACGCCGGCAACGGUGAAACUCAAAGGAAUUGACGGGGGCCCGCACAAGCGGAGGAACAUGUGGUUUAAUUCGAUGAUACGCGAGGAACCUUACCCGGGCUUAAAUUGCAGAUGAAUUACGGUGAAAGCCGUAAGCCGCAAGGCAUCUGUGAAGGUGCUGCAUGGUUGUCGUCAGCUCGUGCCGUGAGGUGUCGGCUUAAGUGCCAUAACGAGCGCAACCCUUGUUGUCAGUUACUAACAGGUUCCGCUGAGGACUCUGACAAGACUGCCAUCGUAAGAUGUGAGGAAGGUGGGGAUGACGUCAAAUCAGCACGGCCCUUACGUCCGGGGCUACACACGUGUUACAAUGGGGGGUACAGAGGGCCGCUACCACGCGAGUGGAUGCCAAUCCCCAAAACCUCUCUCAGUUCGGACUGGAGUCUGCAACCCGACUCCACGAAGCUGGAUUCGCUAGUAAUCGCGCAUCAGCCACGACGCGGUGAAUACGUUCCCGGGCCUUGUACACACCGCCCGU
rnacentral:rRNA from 1 species